AUUGAACGCUGGCGGCAGGCUUAACACAUGCAAGUCGAGCGAGCGGCGGACGGGUGAGUAAUGUCUGGGCAACUGCCUGAUGGAGGGGGAUAACCACUGGAAACGGUAGCUAAUACCGCAUACCAUCAGAUGUGCCCAGAUGGGAUUAGCUGGUAGGUGGGGUAAUGGCUCACAUGGGCGACGAUCCCUAGCUGGUGUGAGAGGAUGACCAGCAACACGGGAACUGGGACACGGUCCAUAUUCCUACGGGAGGCAGCAGUGGGGAAUAUUGCACAAUGGGCGAAAGCCUGAUGCAGCCAGGCCGCUGGUGGGAGGAAGGCCUUCGGGUUGUAAAGCACUUUCAGCGAGGAGGCGUUACUCGCAGAAGAAGCACCGGCUAACUCCGUGCCAGCAGCCGCGGUAAUUC
rnacentral:rRNA from 1 species